UACAGAGGAGCCAAGCGUUGUCCGGAUUGACUGGGCGUAAAGCGCACGCAGGCGGUCGGGCGCGUGGGGUGUGAAAUCUGGCCGCUUAACGGCCAGGCGCCAUCCCAUACGGCCGGACUGGAGCCUUGCAGAGGUCGGUGGAAUUGCCGGUGUAGUGGUGAAAUGCGUAGAGAUCGGCAGGAACACCCAGGGGGGAACCAGCCGACUGGGCAAGUGCUGACGCUGAGGUGCGAGAGCGUGGGGAGCGAACCGG
rnacentral:rRNA from 1 species